GUGAGGAAUAUUGGACAAUGGGCGCAAGCCUGAUCCAGCCAUGCCGCGUGCAGGAAGACGCAUCUAUGGUGUGUAAACUGCUUUUGUACGGGAAGAAACACUCCCUCGUGAGGGAGCUUGACGGUACCGUAAGAAUAAGGAUCGGCUAACUCCGUGCCAGCAGCCGCGGUAAUACGGAGGAUCCGAGCGUUAUCCGGAAUCAUUGGGUUUAAAGGGUCCGUAGGCGGUUUAAUAAGUCAGUGGUGAAAGCCCAUCGCUCAACGAUGGAACGGCCAUUGAUACUGUUAGACUUGAAUUACAAGGAAGUAACUAGAGUAUUUAGUGUAGCGGUGAAAUGCUUAGAUAUUACAUGGAAUACCAAUUGCGAAGGCAGGUUACUACUUGUGGAUUGACGCUGAUGGACGAAAGCGUGGGGAGCGAACAGGAUUAGAAACCCUAGUAGUCC
rnacentral:rRNA from 1 species